GCGGGUCGGAGAGAUUCCGAGCGACUUGACCUUCCCUGCACGCCGCCGCUGCCCUUCCAGUAGCAGUCGGGGCGCUGCUGGGGGCUCCGUUCAUUGUUGAGGUUUUUCUCUUAAGUGGUGGUUCCUUGGCAUGAACUUUAAAGGCAAAGAUGACAGAUUUUGUUAUUUGGAAGCCUAUUUACUUUGACAUGUCUUAAGAACUCAAGGUUGACUGGUGCUGCUUGGAUGCACAUCACAAAGGAGGAAUAAACUUGUGUCUACUUUGUAAAAACAGAGAGCUUGAAGAUGCCCCAAAAGCACUCAGCCAGCCACAGAGCAGGAAGCAACAUGGGGUCCUCUGCUGUCACCGUCAGGUGUCCCAGCCUCCCAGACUUCGGCCCCACAUCCUCCUUUAAGCAUAGGGGCCCUCACGAGCUGUCAGAGACUUGCAGCUUUAGUAAGAAAGAAAAAGACCCAAUGCUAACCUGUGAACAUCUGGAAACUCCACGUCUAGGUUUCCCUAAUCCUGCAGUAUCUCCCAGUCCAAGAAAGAAGUCUGUGUCCCUAAGGAAGGAAAAGGAGGAAAGCCCAGAACUUUGCGAGACUCCUAAACUCAGAAGGAAAAAAUGCACACUACGCAGGAGGCUAGACUUGACUUUGACUCUUCUGAAGGGGGAUUCUGAUUCACAAAGCAGUUCUCUGGAAAGUAAUAUAAGCCACAGUCUUAGCCUAGAAAAACGUUUGCGAGACAGCACUUCAGGUUUCCCAAAGGA
rnacentral:lncRNA from 1 species